UGGAAAAAAGUGUGUGGUUCAAAACGUGACGCAGCUUUCUCUUCUUCUCCACCUACAGAGUUUAUUAUGUACGAUCAUUCAAAAAAACCGGAGCCUCGGAUGCGGGAAUUAUUCAUCAGAGGUCUAUGAGAGUGGGCUGGGUUUGCGUAUGUUGUUUGGUUGUUGCAAAUAAAUGUCAAUAAAGUUGUUUCAAAGGAUAAAGCUUUUAAGCGUUGUGUUAAUUAACAAUACAUCAGAGUAAGACAGAGGUAAAUGUGGAAUAAUAUGACAGAUUUAAUUGGUGCUGAGUUGGUGCACAAUAAUCCUUUCAUUCUGACAGUUGAGAAGUUUGCAUUGUUGCAGGAGCAGAAGUGACAUCCAGAUUAAUAUAAAUAGGGCCCUUGUGUACAUGCACAUGAUGAGCAUCACAUCACACAUCAGCAUGGUUGCCACUGCUGCACACUGGUAAUGUAUAUAUAUGGUCAUGCAAAUGUUCACCUACAAGAACAAUUACUUGGUAUUCACUGCUUCCCAGUACCCACAGGUAUUGCACAUGUAACCUAAGUUAUAUUGAAGUACUAAUAGUCAGAGAUGUUAAACAAAUGCCCAUUUAUGUGCACUACAGUACAGACAUUGAAGUGGUUCUAGCUAUUGUGUGAUCAGUGUUGAUCAUACAGUCAACAGCAACAGGACGGUAAGGCCUGCCUCUCCUUUCCACUCAUUCAGUGAAGCAGUUGGUCUUUUAAGCAGCUGCUUAGAUUGUCUUCCGUUGGGUGCAGCUCAUUCAGAAUGGAUGACAGUCUUAACACCAUCCUCUCCAACCAUCUCCACUAGGCCACGCUGGCCACCUAAGACAUUGCUGGUAUUCUCGAUCAGUAAUUAAGUUUUCAAACCGGACAGAAACAGGUUGACAGAAGUAGGUCCUAACAAGGUCUUACAGGUCCUAACAUAGGUGUUACAUACGCUCACACACACACACACACACACUGGUCCCGCCUUGUGGGCGGGCAGUGGGGCGGGCACUGUGGUCCUAAGAAGCUGGCAAAAAAGCUUUUUGUAUUUUUUCUUGAGUGUAUACUUAAUUUCAAGUGCACACAUUUAUACUGAUUUUUUUCUGACCGCAAUGGUAUAAUUUAUAUAUCUCUAUGUAGCCUGGAAGGCAUAGUCCUCAAAAGUGAUGGCCCUACAGAGAGUCCUAACAAGGUGAUAUAUACAAGACUGUGUGUGUGUGUGUGUGUGUGUGUGUGUGUGUGUGUGUGUGUGUGUGUGUGUGUGUGUGUGUGUGUGUGUGUGUGUGUGUGUGUGUGUGUGUGUGUGU